ACAUGAACUCCUCAGGCAAUAAUACAUGAACUACUAGGAACAUAAAUUUUCAUGGAGCACUUGAAAACAUAAAACAUUACAUAAAAAGAAGCACCAAACAGUGAAUGUAAAAAUAACUCCCACAUCCAUCAUAUACUGGGAGCUUCCACUUGAAUAGGAAAAUUUGUUUAUCCCUCACCAAUUAAAACACGAAACCUGAAGAAAAGAAGUAUUGGUUUCUCAUUGACAUAAUAACAAACAGGAGCACAAAAUCAUAGCUUUUCAUCAAUGUCAGCAUGAUGCAUCGUUGCAUUUUUUUCGUUGUUGUUGUUGUUGUUGUUGUUGUUGUUGUUGUUGUUGUUGUUGUUGUUGUUGUUGUUGUUGUUGUUGUUGUUGUUGUUGUUGUUGUUGUUGUUGUUGUUGUUGUUGUUGUUGUUGUUGUCUUCCUUGACUAUUGAAAGUGCUCUUCUUGGUCAUUUAUUGUCAUGGCCAAUAACGCCUGAAAGUGCUCUUCCAGGUCUCCACUCUCCCGAAAUCCCUAAAACAUUAAAAAUCAACAGAUUUACACAACGAAUAUAGAAAUGCACAAAUGAAUCUCCUCCUCAAGAUCAGUGGUGAAGGAUGCAAUAAAUAUCAUCGACCAAAUGCCAAAGCGUAUUAUAAAUGAGAUACAUGCUUCUCAAGCCUUAACGAAGGCAAAAAAUUGAUUUUUCAAUGCAUUAUAGGCAAGAACGGAUCCAAGUCAGUACUGAUGCGAUUUAUUCCAUCGAACCACUACGAAAGUUUCUCUAUACUGUUACGUUUUUAACACACAAGUAUCAAACUGUUUUGCUGCCUUUCCAUUAUGAAUUGAUGGCGUAAUACAUGUUGAACUGUUAUUCAGAGCGAAAUUCAGAAAUACAUAUAUAUUGGCAUACUCCAAAUAAGUGCAUUUUCAGGAACAAUACUUUCUGAAUCUUCUAUACAAAAGAACUUGAACAAUCAGUCCAAAACAUAAUUCAAGUUAAACAAUCAUUUUCCUUAGCGAGUGUUAAGGAAAAUGAAAUUCUUUGUCCAAUGACAACGUAAGAGUCACAACCAGUAAUCGCAAACAACACUAGCUUGACUGCCCGUCAUGUGUGUGCGGCAAGGGGAGGAGAUACUCUGAUGCUAUAUGUGUAGAGACAACAAGCUCACGCAUAGAAGACAAUGGACGACUCACGCAGUAGGCCUUGAACUGCUCGCCUGUUGCCACCGAUGGCUAUGGAUCAUGCAAAAUCCUGACCAAAAGAUCACAUUUAUUUUCACGAAACUAAUCUCUUCAACUUGCUCCACGAUAAUCUUCAGACCUCCUACAAGAACAAUCAUUGUUUUAAAGUCCACAUGAAUACUUACAAGCAAUGAUCACAAACAUUUAUGGAACAUUCUUUUAAAAAGUUCAAGAGAUUAGUUUUAAAAAGAACCCCACAAGCUGAUAUAAGUACAUGUUAAAAGGAUAAUCAAGUUCAUGUAUAUUAACUAGGAG
rnacentral:lncRNA from 1 species